rnacentral:piRNA from 1 species
UGGUUCUCAGAAGUUGUGAUGUGCUCAGU